rnacentral:rRNA from 1 species
AACGAACGCUGGCGGCGUGGAUAAGACAUGCAAGUCGAACGCGAUUUUUUCGGUUAGCAAUAAUUGAAAAAGUUGAGUGGCGAAAGGGUGCGUAACACGUGGGAAUCUGCCGAAAAGUGGGGGAUAGCUCGCCGAAAGGCGAAUUAAUACCGCAUGUGGUCGCAAGACCAAAGUGGGGGAUCGCAAGACCUCACGCUUUUUGAGGAGCCCGCGGCCUAUCAGCUAGUUGGUGAGGUAACGGCUCACCAAGGCAAUGACGGGUAGCUGGUCUGAGAGGACGACCAGCCACACUGGAACUGAGACACGGUCCAGACACCUACGGGUGGCAGCAGUCGAGAAUUUUUCACAAUGGGGGCAACCCUGAUGGAGCGACGCCGCGUGGAGGAUGAAGGUUUUCGGAUUGUAAACUCCUGUCACCUCAGAACAAGGAGAUCCAGUUUAAUACAUUGGAUCUUUGAUGGUAUGAGGAGAGGAAGGGACGGCUAACUCUGUGCCAGCCGCCGCCGUAAGAC